GCCCGGAUGGUGAAAUUGGUAGACACGCUAGUUUCAGGUACUAGUGCCGUAAGGCUUGGGAGUUCGAGUCUCCCUUCGGGCA
rnacentral:tRNA from 1 species